UAGUGAUUAACUGAUUACCAUCUCUCUCACUUCAUCUCUCCAUUAUUAUCAUCCCAACUUAUCGGAUUCCCUGCAAUGAAGAAUGCAUUCCCUUUAUCAUCUUACCAUUCAAACCAGUGAGCUACCGCUCCCACCGAAAAUGAAGCAGAACCUCGUCCGCUGAAAGUUCACUGGAAAAUCUAGAACCGUUUAUGGGGGUUAAUGCUUGAAAUUGUCUUCCUUUCACUGGGAUUAUAGAGGGGAUUAUAUUGAUGUUCCUCCUACUGGUUUUAAGCACAAAGUCACUGAUAAUCUUCAAAGGAUCUCGGUAUACAUUUAUUUUCCCUAAAUUUGAUUGGAUUUUGAAAAAAAAGAAAAGUGGGUAAUUGAAGUGAAUGGAGCACCAGGUACACAAUAUACCAACAUCAAGUUGAUUUUCCUGAGCAUUACCCCAUGGAAGCCCCUCAGGCAGGUGAUUUCUUCACCCCGCCUCCAAUUUCCCUCAUAUAUACAGUAAUGACCCUAUAUGCUAAGGUAAACUCUUAUUUUUGAGAAUUUGAUUUUAAGGUUGUUACAUUUUUGUAAAUUUGCAUAAUUUAUACUUAUCUUGUAUGUUCUUCUCAUGGUAGUGUAUAUCCCAUUAUAUUGUUUUCGGAACACUCUAGCGCCAUUGGGUUUUUUAUCAAGCACAUUAUUUGAUCUCAUGUUUGGCUGUUGUUGGUAUCAAGUUGAGCAGAUUUAUCCCUUUAUAAGUGUUGUACAACAUUCCAUCACUUGUUUUGUUCUGAAAACAUGAAAUACUCUUUAGCUAAUAGGUCUCUCUAUUAAUCUGAUUAUAUUCGUAUCUACCGAUUAUACCUGGUGCUGGUGGUUCUUUCCCUACUAAGAUAAGUUUGGAUGUUUUGUGCUUUGAUUUGACUUGGUAAUCACCUAGAUUAGUCUUAACUCUUAAACCUUUUAUUCCUUUCUAUGACUUCAUAAUUCUGCUAUAUGUUAUGUUCUGUGCUAAGAAGCUCAUUGAUUAAUUACAACUCAUUCAACUCGAUUAAAUUACGAGUCUCAUGGGGUGGGUUUAUCCAUUUUGGUCAAUCAAUUUGUCUUAUAAUUCUUUUUUGCCUGUAUGACUUCAUAAUAUUAUUUUGAUGAGCUUGUGGCUUUAGGUAUAAUAUGUUUGUUUCCAUUUUUGCAUUGGACAGAAGUCCUACUCCCUCUCCCAUUGCACGUCUCUUUAGUUGGUGAAAAUUUUAGUUAUGAGGGUUGUCUCGCUAUUCAAUUUAUCAUUGACUCGCUGAACUGAUAAAUCUAAUUUAAUAGCAAUAUCUGAUAUCUGUUGCUCUGAUAAUGCAGUUUUCUCAAUUAGUAAUUUGUUCAUGUUAUCGGAAACUAAGGGCCUUGGGGCUCUCCUAAUGAUGCAUGGUUUAUAAGAAGAUAAAUGCGCUAAUAAGCAAUCGGGGUGUUUCCAUUUCUAAACACUAAAUAAAAUCACGAGCAGUACCUUUAAUAUUUAUUUCACUUUUUAUGAAUAGUCUUUGUGUCUUUGAUACGCUGAUGGUAUGGUUCAUAUAAAUCCUUUUUUGUCUGUAGCCUUGAAAAUGUGUGUAAAUUUAGUUAUCUGUAUGACAUUUGGCAUGUAGGAGUGUUGUUUAAUGGUUAGUCAUAAGAAUCCAUCUUAGCUUGUAAGUUAUUGUUGCAUUGUAAUUCUUUUCAUAUUCCAUUCAUUCAAAUUUACCAUCACUUAUAGUUUAUUGUAAUUAUUCUCAAAUUCCAUUCAUUCAUUUGGUGCCAUCAAUUCAAUCUUAAUUAAAACUCAAUACGUGGUAGAGUUUGUAACUGAUAUGCAUGCAAAUUUAACCAAAAUGUUUUAUAAUUGAGAUUCUAAUUAUAAAUAUGUACUCUUAUUCUUUGCAUUAUUGUCAUUUACAAUUUAUUAUAAUUCUUUUCAAAUUCCAUUCAUUCAUUUGGUGUCAUCAAUUCAAUAUAAUUAAAACCCAUCUUUUAUGUGUUGAUGGAGUGGUAAUUUAGUUUCUCCCUCUUCAAUUUCAUCUUCAUCAAUGGAUGCUCUAGAUAAAGUUUUUGAUCCUUUGAGAAAUUUCGAUGAGGGCAAGAAGGGUCCAGAUGAAAUUGUUCUAGGUAGAUGUUUUUCAAAGAAGAUAGGUGAGGCUGAUAUGAAUGGGAAUAUAAUGCCUUUGCCAACACUGCACAGAAGGCUAUAGAGACUGGAUAAAUAUUUGAAGGAAGGAGACGAGUUGUAGUUCUCUUAUCAAUCCUAACCUAGCUUAGAGGUUUAUUGUUAGUUAAAGAUGCCACUUUUCUAGUGAGAUUCUGGUGCAUCCUAAUCAUAGCUGCUAUGUUUCGUGAUCUAUCGAGUCACACAAGAUAUGAUUCAGGGAAACUCUAAGGCUAUAUUCUUGAAGUCCUGUAAUUUUAGUGUAGCUGAUGUACGUAGUCUAAGAAUUAUGAAGUCUUUUUGGUGUUUGCUUCUGUAUAUGUAUUCUGUAUUUAUUCUGUUGGAUGUAGCAUUAAUUUGUCUAAACUCCAAAAGCUAUUAUGUAAAUUUUUGAUAGCAAUUGUUGUGUCUCAGUCAUUUUCCUGCUCCAUCGGUUUUGUGUUUUGAUUUUGUCUGCUUCGUGGAGACAUGAUCUGCAUCUAAUAAGCAUUAGCUUAAUAAAUUACUGUAUUUCUUUGUAGUGUUAAGUGGAAUUAAGCUAACCUCAAGAUUGGCUGCUUUGGUUAACUUAUCUCUUCUUGGCACUCUGUUAUUAAAAAAAAAUAAAAAAAAUAAAAUAAAAUAAACCCUCAGUUAAUUACAUUGGUCUUAAGAUACCAAACUUGAAACUUUGAGAAUGGAUAUUGGAUCAUAUUAGAUACUACCUUUGUUUCUUAUUAUGUGUAACAAAUGGGUAUUAUUUGUGAGACAAAAUAUUCACGUAAGAAGAAACUGUGGUAGUAUAACAGAAAUACGAAAUAUAAAUUUACAUUGCAUUAGACUUGAGCCAAAUCCAAACUUAGAUCUUCGAGACCUAAGAUUGCCAACUACUCAUAGGGUACCCAAGAACAAAUUAAUAUAAAAUUUCAUAUUCCUUUGUUUCGCUUUGUUUUUUUAGCUUGUAAUUUAUAUCAAUUUUUAUUCUAGAGAAUCAACAUACUCUUUCCGAUACAUAAGAAAAGGGUAAUAAAUAUAUG